AUUUUCUCAAUGGAAUUGCGAUCUUAUUAUACUUGACCUGCUAACAGUGAUUAUAGUUUACAAUCCUAAUCGGCCAAACCUACUAAAUAGGGAUAUAAUUAGUGCUCAGCAAAAAAUGUACAUCAAUUUAAUGCAACGCUAUCUACAAGUGCGAUACCGAUGGGACUGGCAAUGGACCAGCAAAAUGGCAAACUUGAUGAACACAUUGACUGAUUUGCAUAUUGUUAGCAAUAUUGAGGUAAAAAAUGCGGCCGAAAAAUAUCUGCAUUAUUUUGGACCAGU